rnacentral:rRNA from 1 species
UACGUAGGUGGCAAGCGUUUUCCGGAAUUACUGGGCGUAAAGAGCGCGCAGGCGGCCGAGUAAGUCGAAUGUGAAAGCCCCCGGCUCAACUGGGGAAAGUCAUUCGAUACUGUUCGGCUGGAAGAUAGGUGAGGGAAGCGGAAUUUCAGGUGUAGUGGUGAAAUGCGUAGAUAUCUGAAGGAACACCAGUGGCGAAGGCGGCUUUCUGGCCUAUUCUUGACGCUGAGGCGCGAAAGCUAGGGGAGCGAACGGG